UGGCAGAGUGAGGGGGUGACUAGGGACAGAGUGAGGGAGGGAGGGGGUCACUAGUGACAGAGUGAGGGAGGGGUGACUGUCACUAGUCACUCCCUCCCUCACUCUGUCCCUAGUCACCACCUCACUCUGUCCC